rnacentral:sRNA from 1 species
AUCUAGCCCCGAUAGAGCCGAUAUCCUUUUUCUUGCUUCUUUAGCAAGGAAAAGAUAUAGGUGAAAGUGGGACUAAAG